GACAGCAGCAGCCACGGUAAUACGUAGGUCCCGAGCGUUGUCCGGAUUUAUUGGGCGUAAAGCGAGCGCAGGCGGUUAGAUAAGUCUGAAGUUAAAGGCUGUGGCUUAACCAUAGUACGCUUUGGAAACUGUUUAACUUGAGUGCAAGAGGGGAGAGUGGAAUUCCAUGUGUAGCGGUGAAAUGCGUGGAUAUAUGGAGGAACACCGGUGGCGAAAGCGGCUCUCUGGCUUGUAACUGACGCUGAGGCUCGAAAGCGUGGGGAGCAAACAGGAUUAGAUACCCGAGUAGUCCCUGUCUCUUAUACA
rnacentral:rRNA from 1 species